rnacentral:rRNA from 1 species
GACGAACGCUGGCGGCGUGCUUAACACAUGCCAGUCGAACGGACAGGCCCUGCUUUUGUGGGGUGCUCGAGUGGCGAACGGGUGAGUAACACGUGAGUAACCUGCCCUUGACUUUGGGAUAACUUCAGGAAACUGGGGCUAAUACCGGAUAGGAGCUCCUGCUGCAUGGUGGGGGUUGGAAAGUUUCGGCGGUUGGGGAUGGACUCGCGGCUUAUCAGCUUGUUGGUGGGGUAGUGGCUUACCAAGGCUUUGACGGGUAGCCGGCCUGAGAGGGUGACCGGCCACAUUGGGACUGAGAUACGGCACAGACUCCUACGGGAGGCAGCAGUGGGGAAUAUUGCACAAUGGGAGGAAGCCUGAUGCAGCAACGCCGCGUGCGGGAUGACGGCCUUCGGGUUGGAAACCGCUUUCGCCUGUGACGAAGCGUGAGUGACGGUAAUGGGUAAAGAAGCACCGGCUAACUACGUG